UACGUAGGGGGCUAGCGUUGCUCGGAAUCACUGGGCGUAAAGGGUGCGUAGGCGGGUCUUUAAGUCAGGGGUGAAAUCCUGGAGCUCAACUCCAGAACUGCCUUUGAUACUGAAGAUCUUGAGUUCGGGAGAGGUGAGUGGAACUGCGAGUGUAGAGGUGAAAUUCGUAGAUAUUCGGAAGAACACCAGUGGCGAAGGCGACUUACUGGACACAUAUUGACGCUGAGGUGCGAAAGCGUGGGGAGCAAACAGG
rnacentral:rRNA from 1 species